UAGGUUAAAAAUUGAGGAUUAAUAGAAGCUAUGAGACGCAGAGAGAUUAAUCUGGGCAGGAUUGCAGUCUGUUAAUGACACUUAGUUGCCCGGUUGGUGGUCUGCACCACAAAGCAUCGCGUCUCUCCACAUGAUCCUUCAUGAAUAAAAUAAUGCAGUGAAGUAUUUAAAAACUCAUCAAUAAUUUACGUUUCCUCUCUCUGUUUCACCGUGUCACCCUGAGACACGGGAACUUAUUUGAAUCAUAUAGCGCUUUGUUUUCGCGACCCGUAUUUCUCUUAUCAUUAUUCUUAUUUUUUGUUUUUCACCUCUUUAGGUUUUGGAGGUGGUCCGCUCCAAUUACGACACUCUGACCCUGAAGCUGCAGGACGGUCUGGACCAGUUUGAGAGAUAUUCAGAGCAGCCAAAAGAAGCUGCGUUCUUCAAGGAGCUGGUGCGCUCCAUCAGUCUGAACGUGAGGAAGAACGUCUCUCUGAACACGCUGAGUCAGGACGUGCUGCUCAAAGAGUUCUCCACCAUCUCCUGAGCCUUUGGGUUGGCCUUCAUGUGCAUGUGGACCCAUACACACACACACACACACACACACACACACACACACACACACACUCACACUCACACACAGACCAGACAAGUCCUCAACGGUUCUUUCCAUUUCCACAACCUUUGUCAAAGUAAACCAAGCGGUGGAAAACCGACGGACGCCGCGCCGGCCGACCCGGACGCAGCAGUCCAGUCCCUGUCCACGCUUUCUUCUUCUGUGGUUUUGGAGGUGUCUGAAUGCAAUCAGCUGGACUGUUACUGACAGGGGAACAAAAAGUAUUCCUCCUGCUGUUCAAAUAAUCCCAGUUCAUGACA